GGACGACUAGCUCAAUGGUAAGAGCACCUGCUACUGAAGCAGGAGGUACUCAGUUCGAUUCUGAGGUCGUUCG
rnacentral:tRNA from 1 species